UAUGUACUCCCUCCGUCUGAAAAUACUUGUCAUCAAAAUGGAUAAAAAGGGAUGUAUCUAGAACUAAAAUACUUCUAGAUACAUCUCCUUUUAUCCAUUUUGAUGACAAGUAUUUCCGGACGGAGGGAGUACUUG
rfam:Triticum aestivum genome assembly, contig: Triticum_aestivum_CS42_TGACv1_scaffold_129657_2BL